rnacentral:rRNA from 1 species
GACGAACGCUGGCGGCGUGCCUAAUACAUGCAAGUAGAACGCUGAAGAGAGGAGCUUGCUCUUCUUGGAUGAGUUGCGAACGGGUGAGUAACGCGUAGGUAACCUGCCUUGUAGCGGGGGAUAACUAUUGGAAACGAUAGCUAAUACCGCAUAACAAUGGAUGACACAUGUCAUUUAUUUGAAAGGGGCAAUUGCUGCACUACAAGAUGGACCUGCGUUGUAUUAGCUAGUAGGUGAGGUAAUUGCUCACCUAGGCGACGAUACAUAGCCGACCUGAGAGGGUGAUCGGCCACACUGGGACUGAGACACGCCCCAGACUCCUACGGGAGGCAGCAGUAGGGAAUCUUCGGCAAUAGGUGCAACCCUGACCGAGCAACGCCGCGUGAGUGAAGAAGGUUUUCGGAUCGUAAAGUUCUGUUGUAAGUCAAGAACGGGUGUGAGCGUGGAACGUUCACACUGUGACGGUAGCUUACCAGAAAGGGACGGCUAACUACGUG